AGCGAACGCUGGCGGCAGGCCUAACACAUGCAAGUCGAACGAACCUUUCGGGGUUAGUGGCGGACGGGUGAGUAACACGUGGGAACGUGCCUUUAGGUUCGGAAUAACUCAGGGAAAAUUGUGAUAAUACCGAAUGUGCCCUUCGGGGGAAAGAUUUAUCUCCUUUAGAGAGGCCCGCGUCUGAUUAGCUAGUUGGUUGAGGUAAUGGCUCACCAAGGCGACGAUCAGUAGCUGGUCUGAGAGCAUGAUCAGCAACAUUGGGACUGAGACACGGCCAAAACUCCUACGGACGGCAGCAGUGGGGCAUCUUGCGCAAUGGGCGAAAGCCUGACGCAGCCAUGCCGCGUGAAUGAUGAAGGUCUUAGGAUUGUAAAAUUCUUUCACCGGGGACGAUAAUGACGGUACCCGGAGAAUAAGCACCGGCUAACUUCGUG
rnacentral:rRNA from 1 species